rnacentral:rRNA from 1 species
GGGUCCGUAGGUUGGUCGUGCCACCGGUACGUACUGGUCUCACUGAUUCCUCCUUCCUGAAGAACCGUAAUGCCAUUAAUUUGGUGUUGCGGGGAAACAGGACUGUUACUUUGAAAAAAUUAGAGUGUUUAAAGCAAGCUAACGCUUGAAUACAUUAGCAUGGAAUAAUGAAAUAGGACGAUCGAUCCUAUUUUGUUGGUUUCUAGGAUUGACAUA